rnacentral:rRNA from 1 species
AACGAACGCUGGCGGCAGGCCUAACACAUGCAAGUCGAGGGGGAAGCCACUUUCGGGUGGUGGAGACCGGCGCACGGGUGAGUAACGCGUGGGCACCUGCCCCGGGGUGGGGGAUAACCGCUGGAAACGGCGGCUAAUACCGCAUACGCCCUAUUUUCGUAGAGGAGAUGGGGGAAAGAUUUAUUGCCCUGGGAUGGGCCCGCGUUGGAUUAGCUUGUUGGUGGGGUAAAGGCCUACCAAGGCGACGAUCCAUAGCUGGUCUGAGAGGAUGAUCAGCCACACUGGGACUGAGACACGGCCCAGACUCCUACGGGAGGCAGCAGUGGGGAAUAUUGGACAAUGGGGGCAACCCUGAUCCAGCCAUGCCGCGUGCGUGAAGAAGGCCUUAGGGUUGUAAAGCGCUUUCACCGGUGACGAUGAUGACGGUAGCCGGAGAAGAAGCCCCGGCUAACUCCGUG